GUGAGGAAUAUUGGACAAUGGGCGCAAGCCUGAUCCAGCCAUGCCGCGUGCAGGAAGACGCAUCUAUGGUGUGUAAACUGCUUUUGUACGGGAAGAAACACUCCCUCGUGAGGGAGCUUGACGGUACCGUAAGAAUAAGGAUCGGCUAACUCCGUGCCAGCAGCCGCGGUAAUACGGAGGAUCCAAGCGUUAUCCGUAAUCAUUGGGUUUAAAGGGUCCGUAGGCGGUUUAAUAAGUCAGUGGUGAAAGCCCAUCGCUCAACGAUGGAACGGCCAUUGAUACUGUUAGACUUGAAUUACAAGGAAGUAACUAGAAUAUGUAGUGUAGCGGUGAAAUGCUUAGAUAUUACAUGGAAUACCAAUUGCGAAGGCAGGUUACUACUUGUGGAUUGACGCUGAUGGACGAAAGCGUGGGGAGCGAACAGGAUUAGAUACCCGUGUAGUCC
rnacentral:rRNA from 1 species